GACGAACGCUGGCGGCGUGCCUAAUACAUGCAAGUAGAACGCACAGUUUAUACCGUAGCUUGCUACACCAUAGACUGUGAGUUGCGAACGGGUGGGUAACGCGUAGGUAACCUGCCUGGUAGCGGGGGAUAACUAUUGGAAACGAUAGCUAAUACCGCAUAAUAUUGAUUAUUGCAUGAUAAUUAAUUGAAAGGUGCAAUUGCACCACUACCAGAUGGACCUGCGUUGUAUUAGCUAGUAGGUGAGGUAACGGCUCACCUAGGCGACGAUACAUAGCCGACCUGAGAGGGUGAUCGGCCACACUGGGACUGAGACACGGCCCAGACUCCUACGGGAGGCAGCAGUAGGGAAUCUUCGGCAAUGGACGAAAGUCUGACCGAGCAACGCCGCGUGAGUGAAGAAGGUUUUCGGAUCGUAAAGCUCUGUUGUAAGAGAAGAACGGGUGUGAGAGUGGAAAGUUCACACUGUGACGGUAUCUUACCAGAAAGGGACGGCUAACUACGUG
rnacentral:rRNA from 1 species